CAUGUACCAGUGGGGUCCCUUGGCCUGGCCUGUGCCCUCUUGCAACUCAGGACCCCUUGGGGGAUGUCGGAGAGCCAGUUUCACCUGAUCCUGCAGGCCAGGCCAAGGGACCCCACUGGUGCAGG
rfam:Myotis lucifugus cont2.30809, whole genome shotgun sequence.